AUAAAAAUGAAUGCCUAUUUUGCAAUUUAUUAUACCUUCGUCCUGUUCUAAUAUAGCUUUUGUGUCAAAAGAGUAAUGAAGUGGGGGGUAGCUACCACAUGGAGCAAGAGGGAUUGGCGAGGUCUCUGCAGCGGAUCCAGAACUUUGUACCUGUUGAUACUCUUAUCACGGAUAGACACGUUUCCAUAAAGAAAUAUCUGCGAGAUCAACAUCCUCAUAUCAAGCAUUUGUUUGACAUACGGCACGUUGCUAAAGGAUUGAAGAAAAAGUUGAAAUCAACUGCCAGGUGAAAAGGUUGUGAGGGAUUAAAUGGUUGGGUGGCCAGUAUUAUAAACCAUCUUUACUGGUCUGUGGUCUCCACCCCUCCAGACGAUUGUCAGUUAGUGGUUGAUAAGUUUAAUCGUAAGCCAUGUACAAAAUCGACAUCACGACUUCUCGGGACGUUUCUCAAGAUGCCUCCAUGGUGAUUUUCAGGGCCAGAAACGACAGCAAGCUCGGCUUCAACCAUGUACAAAAGCUGCUGUACAAAUGGAGAAAAUUGUGUGCAACUCCAGGCUUCUAAAAGAUAUUGCUCAGUUUUCUUCCCCUUACAAAACAUCGACUGUUGAGGCUUUUCAUAGUCUAUUAAAUAAUUUUGUUUUCAAGAUGAUUUGUUUUUCCUUUCUUGGCAUGGGGUGCAGGACAGCUUUAGCAGCUCUUCACUUUAAUGAGAAUGCUCACCGGGCUGUCACAAAGGAUGGUGUACCAGUACAUGGGAUUCACUAUCCCAAGUAUAAGAAGGGUGGUUACAUUGUCAGAAAAGUCACACAGCACACAACUGCAAGAUUUGAGUCAGCAAAUCUAAAGCUAACAUACUCUUGUCCUGCCAAUAAACUGUCUGUAUGCUGUGUAUCUUUUCCAGUUCUCCCCAUCUCGCAAACGAGAUCGAGAGAACUGCUUAAACCCGAUAAGCCUUUAAAACUGUCAUCGCCCUCCAUUACACAUUAAAAUAAACACUAUAAAAUCUACAGCAGUUGUCUGGCUAGCGUUCUCCCGCUGACAUCACAAGGUAGUGGUAUCAUAGGAGUUGAUUUGUUUCACUUAAAAACGUUAUAUUUAUCGCGUAAAUAAAGUUUCUC